GGUACUCAGUUCGGAUUGAAGGCUGAAAUUCGCCUUCAUGAAGCUGGAAUUGCUAGUAAUGGCAGGUCAGCAUACUGCCGUGAAUACGUUCCCGGGCCUUGUACACACCGCCCGUCACACCAUGAGAGUUGGAAAUACCCGAAGCCUGUGAGCUAACUUUUAGAGGCAGCAGUCGAAGGUAGAGCCAAUGAUUGGGGUGAAGUCGUAACAAGGUACC
rnacentral:rRNA from 1 species